CUACGGGUGGCAGCAGUGGGGAAUAUUGGGCAAUGGGCGCAAGCCUGACCCAGCAACGCCGCGUGAGGGAAGAAGGUCUUCGGAUUGUAAACCUCUGUCCUUGGGGACGAAAAAAAUGACGGUACCCAAGGAGGAAGCUCCGGCUAACUACGUGCCAGCAGCCGCGGUAAUACGUAGGGAGCGAGCGUUGUCCGGAAUUACUGGGCGUAAAGGGUGCGUAGGCGGCUUGGCAAGUCAGAUGUGAAAUCCCCGGGCUUAACUCGGGGGGUGCAUUUGAAACUGCUUGGCUUGAGUGCAGGAGAGGAAAGCGGAAUUCCUAGUGUAGCGGUGAAAUGCGUAGAUAUUAGGAAGAACACCAGUGGCGAAGGCGGCUUUCUGGACUGUAACUGACGCUGAGGCACGAAAGCGUGGGGAGCAAACAGGAUUAGAUACCCCUGUAGUC
rnacentral:rRNA from 1 species